CCAAUAGCGUAUAUUAAAGUUGUUGCAGUUAAAAAGCUCGUAGUUGAAUUUCGGGAUCAAUAUGUCGGUCGUGCUUCGGUACGUACUGGCGUUAUUGGUUUCUCCCUUCUGAAGAACCGCGAUGUCAUUAAUUUGGUGUCGUGGGGAAUCAGGACUGUUACUUUGAAAAAAUUAGAGUGUUUAAAGCAGGCUCGCGCUUGAAUACAUUAGCAUGGAAUAAUGAAAUAGGACGUUUGAUUCUAUUUUGUUGGUUUCUAGGAUCGACGUAAUGAUUAAUAGGGAUAGUUGGGGGCAUUAGUAUUCAAUUGUCAGAGGUGAAAUUCUUGGAUUUAUUGAAGACUAACUACUGCGAAAGCAUUUGCCAAGGAUGUUUUCAUUAAUCAAGAACGAAAGUUAGGGGAUCGAAGACGAUCAGAUACCGUCGUAGUCUUAACCAUAAACUAUGCCGACUAGGGAUCGGAUGAUGUUAAUUUUUUAAUGACUCAUUCGGCGCCUUACG
rnacentral:rRNA from 1 species